rnacentral:rRNA from 1 species
AAUCAAGUGCCUUAAGGGUGUUCGGUGGAUGCCUUGGCGCUGAGAGGCGAUGAAGGACGUGCUACGCUGCGAUAAG